rnacentral:rRNA from 1 species
GCAACUCGACUGCAUGAAGUUGGAAUCGCUAGUAAUCGCAGAUCAGCAAUGCUGCGGUGAAUACGUUCCCGGGUCUUGUACACACCGCCCGUCAAACCAUGGGAGCAAGUUGCACCCGAAGACGCAUAGUCCCGCCAAUGGGACGUGUGUUUAAGGUGUGGCUCGUGACUAGGGUUAAGUCGUAACAAGGUAACUGUACCGGAAGGUGCGGUUGGAUCACCUCCUUU